rnacentral:rRNA from 1 species
GCAUAUCAAUAAGCGGAGGAAAAGAAACUAACAAGGAUUCCCCUAGUAACGGCGAGUGAAGAGGGAAGAGCCCAAGAUUGAAAGCUGGCGUCUUCGGCGUCCGCAUUGUAAUCUCAAGAAGUGUUUUCCGCUUCGGACCAUGCCUAAGUCCCUUGGAAAAGGGCAUCAUAGAGGGUGAUAAUCCCGUACAUGGCAUGGAGCGCCCGAAGCUUUGUGAUACGCUUUCUAAGAGUCGAGUUGUUUGGGAAUGCAGCUCAAAAUGGGUGGUAAAUGCCAUCUAAGGCUAAAUAUUGGGGAGAGACCGAUAGCGAACAAGUACAGUGAUGGAAAGAUGAAAAGAACUUUGAAAAGAGAGUUAAACAGUACGUGAAAUUGCCAAAAGGGAAGGGUAGGAGGUCAGAGAUGCGUCUUGGGAUUCAGCCUUGCUUUUGCUUGGUGUUUUUCCCAAGUUGCAGGCCAACGUCGGUUUUGGGCACUGGAGAAGGGUGGAAGGAACGUGGCACCUCUCGGGGUGUGUUAUAGCCUUCCACUGGAUACAGCGACCGAGACCGAGGACAGCAGCGUACUCGCAAGAGCGGGCCUUCGGGCACCUUUACGCUUAGGGCGUUGGCAUAAUGGCCCUCUACCACCCGUCUUGAAACACGGACC